rnacentral:misc_RNA from 1 species
GUCAAAACAAGAUGCAAACGGGGUCAAGUACGGUAGAGGAACUAUAACAACAACAUCAACAAAUUAAAUAGGUCAUACUCCAGGAUCCACAACAGGUCUCACCGCCUGGUAAAUAUGACAAGGCGACUGAAUUAUCUCUUUUCGCCUGAAGGUCUUUUUCCCCCCUUUCCACCUGAGCAUGCCGCAAGAAAGUCAUCCUGUACGACCCUUUCUGCUCCUUUUCUCCCAAAGGGCUAUAGAACAACUACUUGAUAUUAUUCAGCAUUUCUUGGGUUUGUCUGUUUCCUCUGCAAGGGUCUUGGACAUAUCCUUGCUGGAUCUGUUGUAUUUCAUGUGGCUCUUGACCAGAUGGCCAGCGGCCUGCGCAGAGAUAAGGGACAGCUCCCCAGCUAGGACCGCACCCGCAACCACCGUGGCCAAGAGCCUCGCGUUGGACCCCGGAGAUUCCCUGUUGGCACCUUUGACGCCAAGCAGGUCCAAGCAGGCAGAUUGUGAGGCCAGCUGCGUGCCUCCACCAACUGUGCCAACCU